ACGGAGGGGGCAAGCGUUAUUCGGAAUUACUGGGCGUAAAGCGCGCGCAGGCGGCAUGGCAAGUCGCAUGUGAAAGCCCUGGGCUCAACGCAGGGAGUGCAUGUGAUACUGACGGGCUUGAGGGCUGGAGAGGUGAGCGGAAUUCCCGGUGUAGUGGUAAAAUGCGUAGAUAUCAGGAGGAACACCAGCGGCGCAGGCGGCUCACUGGACCGUUUCUGACGCUCAGAUACGAAAGCGUGGGGAGCAAACAG
rnacentral:rRNA from 1 species